rfam:Schistosoma curassoni strain Dakar, Senegal genome assembly, scaffold: SCTD_contig0005130
AGCCUUAUGUAUCCGUACGGUGAUUUUGCCACACACCAGACCACAAGGGCUGAUGAGACUUCCAAGAUAAGUAAAGCG